AGAGUGAUGAGAGUAGCGGACGGGCGAGUAACGCGUGGGUAACCUGCCCUUUGCAGGGGGGAUAACAUCGGGAAACCGGUGCUAAUACCGCAUAAGACCACAGUGUCGCAUGGCACGGCGGUCAAAGCUGAGGCGGCAAAGGAUGGACUCGCGUCCAAUUAGCUGGUUGGUAGGGUAACGGCCUACCAAGGCGACGAUUGGUUUCCGAACUGAGAGGUUGAUCGGACGCAUUGGGACUGAGACACGGCCCAGACUCCUACGGGAGGCAGCAGUGGGGAAUAUUGCGCAAUGGAAGGAAACUCUGACGCAGCAACGCCGCGUGAAGGAUGAAGGCUUUCGGGUUGUAAACUUCUUUGAUCGGGGACGAAGAUGACGGUACCCGAGGAACAAGCCACGGCUAACUACGUGCCAGCCGCCGC
rnacentral:rRNA from 1 species